rnacentral:misc_RNA from 1 species
GCAAACUUGGUCAUUUAGAGGAAGUAAAAGUCGUAACAAGGUUUCCGUAGGUGAACCUGCGGAAGGAUCAUUAUCGAAUUGUAACAAUCUCUGCUGUCGCUGGCCCUCUCUGGGGGCAUGUGCACGCUAGAUUUAACACUCUUCACUUUAUUCUCCUGUGCACCUUUGUGGUUCCGUCUUUGAGAUAUUUCUCUUUCGAGCUAGCCCUCGGUUUUGAGCUUUGCCCCUAACACGCGCUCCGCUCUCCAUCUCACUUCGGUCCAUGUCUUUUUCUACACACUUUAUUUAUACAACCUAGAAUGCUUAAUCGUUGGGAACUUUUGUACCCUUCUUAACCUUAUACAACUUUCAACAACGGAUCUCUUGGCUCUCGCAUCGAUGAAGAACGCAGC